GAUGAACGCUGGCGGCGUGCUUAACACAUGCAAGUCGAACGAUGAAGCCCAGCUUGCUGGGUGGAUUAGUGGCGAACGGGUGAGUAACACGUGAGUAACCUGCCCUUGACUCUGGGAUAAGCCUGGGAAACUGGGUCUAAUACUGGAUAUGACUUCUCAUCGCAUGGUGGGGGGUGGAAAGAUUUAUUGGUCUUGGAUGGACUCGCGGCCUAUCAGCUUGUUGGUGAGGUAAUGGCUCACCAAGGCGACGACGGGUAGCCGGCCUGAGAGGGUGACCGGCCACACUGGGACUAAGACACGGCCCAGACUCCUACGGGAGGCAGCAGUGGGGAAUAUUGCACAAUGGGCGCAAGCCUGAUGCAGCGACGCCGCGUGAGGGAUGACGGCCUUCGGGUUGUAAACCUCUUUCAGUAGGGAAGAAGCGAGAGUGACGGUACCUGCAGAAGAAGCGCCGGCUAACUACGUG
rnacentral:rRNA from 1 species